UAAUAAAACAAACGUGAAU
rnacentral:snRNA from 1 species